CACAUUCAACCAACAGUUUUCAUGAUUAUUGUAUCUUGAUUGUUGCAAUAUGCUCACCGGAAAUGUGUCCAUAGAUGGUGCAAUGUAAAGGGGGACAUCAUCUGUGAGAUUUGCCUGCAGCAAUACAGGCCUGGUUAUAUGGCACCACCUCCUUUAUAUCAUUAUGGAGUUGAUCAUUUGAACUUCGGAGGGAAUUGGGAGAUUUCCGGGAGAGACUUGCGAGGUCCGCAUU